AGCGAACGCUGGCGGCAUGCCUAACACAUGCAAGUCGCACGGGUCGGCUUCGGCCGGUCAGUGUCGGACGGGUGCGGACCGCGUAGUGAUCUGUCCUCUGGCUGGGGAUAACCGCGGGAAACUUCGGCUAAGACCGCACGGGGCGCCGGUGUGAGAGCCGGUGUCAAAGGCGCGCAUCGCGAGGUGUGUGUCGCCGGGGGGUGGGCCUGCGUUCUAUUAGCUGGUUGGCGGGGUAGUGGCCCACCAAGGCGUCGACGGGUAGCGGGUCUGAGAGGGGGACCGGCCACAUUGGGACUGAGAAAAGGCCCAGACGCCGACGGGAGGCAGCAGUGGGGAAUAUUGCACAAGGGGAGGAAGCCUGAUGCAGCAACGCCGCGGGGGGGAUGACGGCCUGCGGGUGGGAAAACGAUUUCGCCUGUGACGAAGCGUGAGUGACGGUAAGGGGAAAAGAAGCACCGGCUAACUACGUG
rnacentral:rRNA from 1 species